ACUCACUCAAACAAACACUUUCUGCCAGUCUGCCACCACAGUUAGCAACAGUACACGUUUUGCCUCCCUCAUUUCUCCAAGCCAGUCGCUCUGCACUGCGGCAGGCAUGGGAAGCAGACACACACUCACACACACACUCUUCUCUACUCCACUCCCAUAUUUUUUGGAAGGGAACAGACGAGGAGCGAGAAAAAUCAAGAGAGCACGGCAUUUUUCGUAUUUUCAUAACGGAGCUGCUUUAAAAUCCAGUAGAAACGUUUUUCUGUCUUGUGACAAAACUUGUUUCAAAGAGAUUUGGAGUAUCGGCACUACAAACGGAAUAUGCACAACUCGACCUACCAGCCCCCCCAAAACAAGGAAAUUUGGACCUAUGUGAAGGACUUUUGAAAGCGUGCGUAAAUGCAAUGUUUGAAGAGGCUUUUUUGGGAUGUUGUUAAGAAGGUUUCUCCAUGCUCUUCCUUUCUCUGGCCUCUGGGUCUCUGACCAUCCUCUCCAUGCUAUUGCUGAUAAAGCAAUGGAAAUUACCAUCUCUCCAUCUCUCACUCCAGGACAUAGAUGCAGCCGGGCCUUGCAAUUUUGCAGAUUACGCUCUAUCCAUAUGCAAGAUAAAUGAAAUCCAGUACAGCGGUAUUCAGCUGGUGGAGCUGUCCAGCAACCGGCACCCAGCCCGGAGAAAUCCCUGCCCCAGUAGAGGAGAAGAAGAGACUGAGGACGGAUCGAUGAAUGAAGGAAAGAGAGAGAGAGAGAGCUUCCAGACUGCGUGACCUACAUUCAACACUGUCUGGAGUCAAAAACAGAGUGAGAGGGAGAGGGAGAGAGAGAGAGAGAGAGAGAGCAAGAGAGCCAGCCCAAACAGAAAGCGGGAGGAUGAGACAGCAGGAAAGAAAGAGUAAGUCAGCAGAAUUGAGAGAUUCAAAGAGGAACUGAGAGGAGUAGAGGCAGAAAGAGGAAGCUGAUCCUUGGCCAAGAUCAUCCAUUUCUCACUCUGUUCGUCCUGCUCUUUUGCGCCGCUCCUUUUUCCAUAAUCCAGUCUCAUUCUACCUGAUAAUGUGCUGCUUUCUCCUCCCCAUCUAUCACCAUUAAUCAUCCAUUGUCUGAGGUGUCUCGGGGAAUGCAGCUGCCUGCAGUGCAACGCCAGUCUGGGGAGCACAAACGGGCAGAGAAAUAAUCAUCACUUUUCACACUUUUGUUGUUUUUUUUCCCCGGGCUCUUCAUGCUCCUCUACAAGCUCUGUUCCCUUUGUCUCUUCAUCUCUCCUCCGCUUGUCCCCGACACCCCCACCACCCCCCUCCUUCCUUCUGUGCACCCCAUUCUUUAACCCUCUUUCCUUCAAGCCAAAGCACCGCACAACCCCUCAACAUCCACAUUUAUCUCCUUCCUCCUUCUCCUCCUCUGUCAGCAUAUAUCUAUCUGUGCUCCAACAGUAUUUGUAUGGUGGAUCGCUUUGUCCGGCUGAUGCUGUUAUCAAGAACAGCAGCAGCGGCUCUGACUGUGCGUGAGCCUGUCUGAUGAGCUUGGCUUCGAAUCUAUCUGAUUGCCUCCGGAUGGAAAGCUGCCUCUCUGAAAGCAGAUUGAUGAAUGGCGAAUUGACUUGACUCGUAUAGCGCCUUUAGUCUUCCCACCACUCAGAGCUACACGACACUUCAUGUCAUCCACCUAUUCGCGCCGCUUACCUACCAACGUGUCGCCUGCUCAUCAGGACUAACUACUCCCACCCAGUCACACAGCGGCGGUACAGCAGCAGUGGAUCAAACCAGAGAAACGAGGGACAACCUGCUCUCUCUAAUGUCUGUCAAUGACGCUGCUCAACACGUCCCCCAACAGAGGGCCCUUUGCAUAGGAGAAGUGUGGUUCUGAAUGCAGCUUUUAGAGACCAACUCUCUGAAACUUCAUUAGUAUCUCCAGAACACAACUUGCUGGGCUGCUCUGGAUCCCAGGUACAGCGUCCAGGACAAGACCAGCAGUUUGAUCCGCUGGAUCUUCUAGUGCACGUGGAUGUACGCUUGGGCAAGACACCCCAAAUGGCGAAGCUGUGCCGAAGGAUUCAUUGGUCCUGAUGGAUUGGUGGCACCUUGUCACUCCUUGCCACUAGUGUAUGAAUGGGUACUCGCUACCGGCCCUGUUUCGACAACGAAUCCAUGUACAAUCCAACAGGGAAGAGAGUCGGUCUAUCGAUCCAAAGAAUGGGAGGCAUCAAAAGAUCCUUAGGAGCAGGAGCUGAAAGGAGCAGCGAUGGCGAAGAAUCAGGAAGCAACCAAUUCGGAAGGAGACUACCAGACAUGAGAGGAAUACUUUUUCCAAUUGGACCAUGUGUAGAUCGGUCACCUCCACUGUUUACCGUGGGAAUAAAUAUCAGUACAAAUAGGGGAAGAACUCUGGUAUUCCAAUUGCAUGGCAUCACUUUGAUCCUCAUUUGAUCAGAUUAAAUGUCAAUGUAAACCCCAAACAAAUGUUUGUCUUUGUUAUUG